CCUGCCAGAACCACCUGCAUGGUUGGGCCACUCCCGAAGGCCCUGCCCUCACAGGGACCUGUGUGUCCUGGAGAGCCUUUUUACCCUGCUGCCCGGGACUGGAGAACACCGGAGAGGCGUGCCAGAACCAUGGGCCAGGCUGCUGCGCUCCCCGGUCCCCUGCAGGCUCGGGCUGCACCUCGCCCCGCCCGGUUGUUUUCUCCAGCUGACUGCUGCCCGCUCCUGGGGCUGGGCUGUUCCCACGGGCAAGGAGCAAAAGGCCUGGGGGCAGUGCUCACCUGAUCUGCCCCACAGGCUCCGAAGGUUUUGGUCCCAGAGAUAAUAUCUGAAGGACAGAGAAGGAGACGGAAAGCAGAGAAAGAGACUGGAGCUCAACGGGAAAAGUAACAUAAAUCAAAAUGUCAUCAGUGAACUGGCAGAGCUGUAACACCCAGCCCAUUGGAGUCUUCACAGUACAGCUAUCUCAAAUAGGUGUCACAGAGGAAAAAAGACAAAAUAAAACCGCAUGAGGUGCAAUAAAAGAACACUUAUGAUAAAUGGAGGAAUACCCAAUACUACCCUCGGGAGUUCUGUCGCUACGUGAGGAAUUAAAUCACUGAAGACUUAGGCAAUUGGUGAAACUACAGCCCAGGAUGCAGUGGAUAGAAGUGUUCUGACUCCUGUUCCUGGUGGUUGGCAUGGUGAUGAUAUUUGCUAUCUUCCACACAGUGAGUUUCCUUUCUUAAAAUUUUUUUUACUAGUGAAUCUGCUUAACAGCUAUGAUGGAUUGAAGGCCUGUAAUCUGUACUCUUGUUUUCUGGUCCCAGCAUUAAGAUAGAAAAACAUAAGGCAUUUAUAAAAAGAGUCAAGAACAUGUAAAAAUAAGUCAGAAAGAAGCACAAUCAAAUAAACAUACAAGAACAAAUUCAAAUAGCAUGCAUUAAUUUUAAUUCAUGAAAUUUUCUGUGGAAAAAUGUCAAAUUGGUUUAUUUUCUCAAAUCAAAGUGUGAUAGGCAUUGUCUUAAAUUAAUUAAAAUUGUUUUUUGUUAUGAUUCAAGCAAAAGUUAAUGCAAAAGCAUAAAAUCAUAUAAUUACCGUUGUCAAUUGUCAACCCAAGAUUCCUGAAGAUAAGGAUUGUUUCUGUAAGCCAGUUAUAAUAAUAUACGCCAUUAUAGGAAUUUAGCAUCUAUUAGGUAAAAAAUUCCGUAGUCUAUUGUUAUUUUUGAAAGAUCAGGUUUUUAUCUCACUUUGAGAAAUGUGGACAUUUGCCUCUACAA